GACGAACGCUGGCGGCGUGCUUAAUACAUGCCAGUCGAACGGUGAAGCGCCUUCCUUUUUGGUGGGUGUGGAUGAGUGGCGAACGGGUGAGUAACACGUGAGUAACCUGCUCCCUUCUUCUGGAUAACCGCAUGAAAGUGUGGCUAAUACGGGAUAUUCUGGGUCUGUCGCAUGAUGGGUCUGGAGAAGAUAUUGUUUCGGUGGGGGAUGGGCUCGCGGCCUAUCAGCUUGUUGGGUGGGUGAUGGGCUACCAAGGCGGUGACGGGUAGCCGGCCUGGGAGGAUUGGCGGUCACACGGGGGCGGAGACACGGCCAAGACUCCUACGGGAAGCAGCAGUGAGGAAUAUUGCACAAUGGGCGCAAGCCUGAUGCAGCGACGCCGCAGGAGAGAUGGAGGCCUUCGGGUUGUGAACCUCUUUCGCCAGUGAAGCAGGCCUGCCUCGUUUGUGGGUGGGUUGACGGUAGCUAGAUAAGAAGCGCCGGCUAACUACGUG
rnacentral:rRNA from 1 species